rnacentral:rRNA from 1 species
AACGAACGCUGGCGGCAUGCCUAACACAUGCAAGUCGAACGAGACCUUCGGGUCUAGUGGUGCACGGGUGCGUAACGCGUGGGAACCUGCCCUUAGGUUCGGAAUAACUCACCGAAAGGGGUGCUAAUACCGGAUAAUGUCUUCGGACCAAAGAUUUAUAGCCUUUGGAUGGGUGCGUGUUGGAUUAGUUGGUUGGUAGGGUAAAAGCAUACCAACGCGACGAUCCAUAGCUGGUCUGAGAGGAUGCUACACCAGGCUGGGACUGAGGCCCGGCCCACACUCCGACGGGAGGGUGGAGUAGGGUAUAUUAGGCACUGGGCGAAAGCCUGACCCAGCCGUGCCGCGUGAGUGAUGCAGGCCUUAGGGUUGCAAAGCUCUUUUACCAGAGAUGAUAAUGACAGUACCGGGAGAAGAAGCUCCGGCUAACUACGUG